GUAGGUGGCAAGCGUUGUCCGGAAUUAUUGGGCGUAAAGCGCGCGCAGGCGGUUCUUUAAGUCUGAUGUGAAAGCCCACGGCUCAACCGUGGAGGGUCAUUGGAAACUGGAGAACUUGAGUACAGAAGAGGAAAGCGGAAUUCCACGUGUAGCGGUGAAAUGCGUAGAGAUGUGGAGGAACACCAGUGGCGAAGGCGGCUUUCUGGUCUGUAACUGACGCUGAGGCGCGAAAGCGUGGGGGGCAAACAGGGAUUAGAUACCCUGGUAGUCCACGCCGUAAACGAUGAGUGCUAAGUGUUAGGGGGUUUCCCGCCCCUUAGUGCUGCAGCUAACGCAUUAAGCACUCCGCCUGGGGGAUACGGCCGCAAGGCUG
rnacentral:rRNA from 1 species